CCGGAAGGAGUUAAAUUCUUUAUGAUUUUGAGUUGAGGCUGGUGAAGAAGAGCAGAAGGAUCUUCUGACUGGACCUGAGACCCUGUUCCUUUUAGAGUGACAGGUGUUCCAGAGCACCAAAGACACAGCCUGCUCUCCCCUCCUGACACAGAAUUGAUGGACUCGGGGCACAGAAGAAGACACAUUUUUGGACAUGACCAGUGGGAGAGGUAACGCACCUCAGAAAGGAUGUUGGCGAGCAGGUUACCUGGAGGAGGCCAACUGAAAACCAUAUGAGAAUCAAAGGAAGGAAACAGGCAUGUUUACCUUGGAGAAGAAAGGAUUCAGCAUUUGGGAUUUGGGGGAGCAGAGGGACAGGAUUGCUGUUUUCAAGUAUUGAAGAGAUAUCAUGUAAAAGAUCCUGCUUGGACCUGCAAGUAGAACUGGGAGUAAUGGAGGGAGUUGGAAGUUUUGGCAGGGGAAAUGAAGGCAAGUAGGAAACAGAUUUAGGUUUGCUAUAAGGAAAGACUUCCUAAAAGUUAAUUUGUUUAAAAGGUAGAAUUGAAUUUUUCCAAUUCUAACGAGUUUCCUAUGACUGGAAGAUUCCCAUUAGGAGCGCAAGAAUCAUAUAUUGGUGAUUUUCCUGAAGCCUGAGUCUAGGUGGUGUUCCCCUCCGCUAUAAUCUCUGGGAGUUCCCUGUCACCUAGGGUCAGAUAGAAAUCCCUCUGGCCUUGAACUGUGCCCAACCUGACAGCAACCUUCCACACAUUACUAGCCUUCACACUUUCUAAGGUAAAACUGCACUGGCCUUCUUACUCAUACAUGGCACUUAUUCAUAAAUAUAUCUCCCCCCCCCCCAUAGUCUUGCACUGGCAGUCCCCUUAUGCCUAGAAGGCCCUUUCCUUACUUCUUCCUCUUAGAAGUCCAGGUUUCCUUCAAGAUACAAUUCAAAUGCCAUCUCCUACAGGAAACCUGUCUUCAUUUUCCCAGAUCUUUGGCUCCUCCAAAUUACCUUGAAUCUAUUUUGUUUGUGUAUGAAAUCUGGCUUCAGAUACUUACUAACUGUAUUACCCUGGGCAAGUCACUUAACCCUCUUUGUCUCAGUUUCUUCAUCUGUAAAAUAAGCUGAAGAAAGAAAUAGCAUUGGUUCCCAGGGCAUGACAAAUUCCUUCGGGCACUAGGCAACACUAAGACUGUAAGUUGGAGAGAAAAUGCCUGUUUGCCAGAGUUUCUUUCUUAUUCAAUAAAACCCAAGUCUAGCAGCACCCCCCCUCUUUCUCUCUUUCCCAAAGCCUAGUCCAGUUCUGGACAUAUACCCUACUGUUAGGUACUUCACAAAUGCUUUAUUAGAUUGAAUUUGCUACCACAAGGCAGGACCAGCUGCCAUUAAGAAUGUGGCCAUUGGGCACCAGCCCUCACAGCUUGGGGAUGUUGAAUAGGGUCAAUCCCAAAGAUGUCUGUUUCUGAAAGUUCUAGGUGAGGUACAAGAUGGAGAAAACUGCCUUCUAGAAGUUAACUCCCAAGUCACUGAAAAGCUGCCCCAUGCAACUUAGCGACUUGCAGUUUGGCUGAAGCUUUAUCAGGGUCAGGUCCCUGCGGAGUCCCGGGAUACCCAGGUCCACCCAGGAAGUAACUCCACAAAUACAGGCUUCAGAAAGUUGCUUUGGAGAGACCCAUUAUGUCUUCCUCCAUUCCUCCAUCCCAAGUUCUCUGAAUCCUGGCAAAUAAUCACAGUAUUCUCUAUACAACUGGCUCUGAAUGCAUUUCGAGGCCUUCACAGACUAGACCUGCCCAUCUUGGCAGCUUUACUCUGCAUCCAUUCCCUUCCUGUAUUCUAUAGUCCAUGUCCCUUUAAAAAAACUAGAGAUAUUUUCUUUCUUUUUUCUGAUCAUAUAAAACCCACUUCAAUAAUUGGUCAUUGUUGUAAGAACACACUCAUACAAAAUCUGAAUCCCAAAAUAAAACCAUAAAUGCACAGAUGUGAAAGAUAGUAUGCUUUGAUCCAUAUCCAUCCGACUUUGAUAGUUCCUUCUCUGGAGGUGAACUGUACUGUUUCUGAGAAGAACAAUUAGAGAGAGCAUAAUAUUUUGGAAAGCAUUCUGGGGCUUGUCAGGAAACAGUUGGGUUCCAGUUCUGGACCUUGGGCUAGUCCCUAUACUGACCCACCUCAGUUUCCCCAACUGUAAAAUAUGGAUAAUAUUGGUGUUUCCUCCCUAAAAGAGUUAUAUAGAAAAAUAAAGUAUUUAAUAAAUAUUAAGUGGGAAUUAUUUGCUAGGAGUCAGGAGACCUGGGUUCAAUAUAAUCAGUCAAUCAAUAGACAUCUAUGAUAUACCUUCUUUAUGCUAAGUACUAUGCCAGAUGCUAGGGACACAAAAACAACAAUGGAACAAUCUCCCCCCUUGAGGACCCUGCAUUCUAUCAGGAGAGGCUCAUCUUUAACCAGUGUUUCUACUCUGCUAUUGCCCUUCCCCUUCUGACCUAACUACUUAAUAAUCCCACUUUCUUCUUCAUCUAAUUUUGUUAGCUAUAACCUUCAUUUCUUUUUAUUUAUUUCUUUUUAAUUUUUAUUUGGUCAUUUCCAAACAUUAUUCAUUGGAAACAAAGAUCAUUUUCUUUUCUUCCCUCCCCCCUCCCACCACCUCUCCCAUAGCCCACGUGCAAUUCCAUUGGGUAUCACAUUUGUUCUUUAUUCAAACCCAUUUCCAUGUUGUUGGUAUUUGCAUUAGUUUUCAUUUAGAGUCUCUCCUCAGUCAUAUCCCCUCAACCCCUGUAGUCAAGCAGUUGCUUUUCAUCGGUGUUUUUACUCCCACAGUUUUUCCUCUGCUUGUGGAUAGUGUUUUUUAGAUCCCUGCAGAUUGUUCAGGGACAUCGCAUUGUUCGUAAUGGAGAAGUCCAUUACCUUCGAUUGUGCCACAGUGUAUCAGUCUCUGUGUACAAUGUUUUCCUGGUUCUGCUCCUUUCACUCUGCAUCACUUCCUGGAGGUUGUUCCAGUCUCCAUGGAAUUCCUCCACUUUAUUAUUCCUUUUAGCACAAUAGUAUUCCAUCACCAACAUAUACCACAAUUUGCUCAGCCAUUCCCCAAUUGAAGGGCAUCCCCUCAUUUUCCAAUUUUUGGCCACCACAAAGAGCGCAGCUAUGAAUAUUCUUGUACAUGUCUUUUUCCUUAUUAUCUCUUUGGGGUACAAACCCAGCAGUGCUAUGGCUGGAUCAAAGGGCAGACAGUCUUUUAUUGCCCUUUGGGCAUAGUUCCAAAUUGCCCUCCAGAAUGGUUGGAUCAAUUCACAACUCCACCAGCAAUGAAUUAGUGUCCCCACUUUGCCACAUCCCCUCCAGCAUUCAUUACUUUCCAUAACUGUCAUGUUAGCCAAUCUACUAGGUGUGAGGUGAUACCUCAGAGUUUUGAUUUGCAUCUCUCUGAUUAUAAGAGAUGUAGAGCACUUUUUCAUGUGCUUAUUAAUAGUUUUGAUUUCUUUGGCUGAGAACUGCCUGUUCAUGUCCCUUGCCCAUUUAUCAAUUGGAGAAUGGCUUGAUUUUUUUGUACAAUUGAUUUAGCUCUUUGUAAAUUUGAGUAAUUAAACCUUUGUCAGAGGUUUUUAUGAAGAUUGCUUCCCAAUUUGUUGCUUUCCUUCUGAUUUUAGUUACAUUGGUUUUGUUUGUACAAAAACUUUUUAAUUUGAUGUAGUCAAAAUUAUUUAUUUUACAUUUUGUGACUCUUUCUAAGUCUUGCUUGGUUUUAAAAUCUUUCCCUUCCCAAUAUAACCUUCAUUUCUAAAUAUGUCCCCCCACCACUUCACUACCCAGGGAGCCAUUUCUGUUAACUCAAGAGUGUUGUGAAGCUCAAAGUUGAUAUUUGCAAAACACUUUACAAACCUCAAAGCACUAUGGAAAUGCCAAUUAUUGUUAUUGUUCUUAUUAGUCUCCAGUUACUAGGUCUCCAGUCUGAUCAUGACUUCAUUCCUUGAGCCUUCUACUACAUUCCUGCUGAGCUCAAUGUUUAUUGAGUAAUACUGGGAUAUGUUAGUAAAUGUUUAACAGCCAAGCUGGAGGAGGGGAAGAAAUGUAUGUAGAAGGCAUUAUUAUUAAGUUCAAUCUGCAUUAUUAACCCUUAAAUCUAGACAAUGAACAAAACAAAUCCAAUUCUGAUUUGUAGUGACUGUCAAUUUCUGAAAUGUAAAUGCUUGCACUCAAAAUAUUCAAGAACUGAGCUGAAAGCAGGUUAGAGCUGGCUCCAGCACACCCCCAGGAUAAACAAAACUAGGGAUUUGCAAUGGGGUUGGGUGGGGGGGAGGG